GUUUUGUAAACGAAUCUUUUCCUUUCAGAGUAAGAGGAAACGAUCUAAUUAAGACUCUUUCUGUAGCAGAUUGACAAAGAAAUAUGACAUGCUGAACAUCUUUGGCUACGUAAACUUGGUCCAUGGUCUACCCAAUUGUGAUAGAAGGAUUUGUCUACUCUAUUUCCCACACAAUGUGAAUACUGGGCCUAGCUGCUCUGUGUAUGGCACAGAUUCUAAACACAACAAAGCCAGUGACUGCAAAUUAUGACAAGGCAUGCUAAAUGAGAGACAUCUGUUGGUAGUGAUUCCCAAGGCACUAAAAGCAAGGUCUAAUUCAGCAAGACUAACAAUAAAUGGUGGUUUAGAAGGAGCAGAGUGAUGGCUCCCUGAAGGAAUCAGAAAGACAUACCAGCAGUUUUUAUCAGAUGCUGAUUCACCUUCCAGCAUAGCAUAAUAUCUUUGGAGACCAUAGGUAGUGGAGGCAUGUAGUUGAGUAAGGACCUAUAGUCACUUUCAACUCAUCUAUCCAUCCACAGUUGAUGAUGUGGCAUGUGCUCAUGGGUAACUCAUGAUUUUCUCAAAAUUAUCGUUUCCAAUAUCGGUGUCUAAUUGUGACAAACUUUCCAACUAUUUCUUCAUUAACAAAACAAGAACCCUCACACCUUAUAUAAAUCAUCAGUAUGUCAAUUUGUAUCAAUGAUAUACCUAUACAUACAAGCACAGGAAAGACAAGCUUUUAUCAGACAGUCUAUUAACAUCAAAUACAAAUGAUUGUUGGGCUCUCAAUAAUUACAUUUUAUCUCACUGGUAUAGCCCAGGCUACGUGUAGACCGUUGCCUACAUACUGUUCAGAUCAUAAGAUUCCCUUAUCAUUCAAACUUUAUGCUAUGUACAGUUUCAUUUCAUGAAUAUAAACAUAACUUUAUUUGAUUUUAAAGCUAUAUCAGUGUUCAUAAACUGGAAAUGAACUGUUAAUGAAGCUGACCACGAGAACAUGAGGCAUUGAUAGGCAAAUGAUGGACCUAUAUUAUUCAUUCAUUACAUAUUUAAUUUUACUUGCCUUUUAAACACACUUUCAUUUUACAGGAGUCAAUAUUACUCUCCUAUUUUAACCAUUAUUUAUUCUUUCUAACUAAGUGAAGUUACAGUGUCAUACAUUUAAAAAUAAUAUGUCUUGGCUAGUCGUAUAUGCUGUACUAUAUGUGUCAUCAACACACAAGGAUGAUGGGAUUUCAGUGAGAUCUGAAAAUUUUGCUAAUAAGUUACUUGGCAAAAUACUCCUGAAAUUGCUUAGUUACUGAGCUAGUAUAACAAUUAGCAUGCUCAAGGAAAAACUAUCUAAAUAGGCAAAGUAUUCUGAAAAGAAAAUGCAAUACCACUGCUGUGCAUUAACUGACAUUUCCUGCCUUCUCGUCAAUGUUCCAGUGGCUGUGCCUUUCACCUGCCUCGGCAACCUCCUAGACAACAAUAUUUCAUGCUAAUUCAAAUAUGCCACCCAUUUAAUUUACAUGAAAAAAAUUGUUAGAAUACACCUUAUUUGCACUCACAGAGCUAGAUGUUUUUUUUAUUUACAUGCAAUUAGAUAAAAAUGAUAUUGUUAAGAUACAAUAAAGUUUGUUCAUACUUACCUGGCAGAUAUAUAUAUAGCUGUAUUCUCUGAAGUCCGACAGAAUUUCUAAAAACUUACGACACACGUAGUGGGAGUAGGGUGGUUAGUACCCAUUCCCGCCGCUGGGAGGCGGGUAUCAGGAACCAUUCCCAUUUUCUAUCAGAUUUCUAUCUCCAC